rnacentral:rRNA from 1 species
ACGUGAUCUGAGUUCAGACCGGAGUAAUCCAGGUCGGUUUCUAUCUAUAAUUAAGCUUAUUCUAGUACGAAAGGACCGAAAAAGCAUGGCCUAUACCCGAAGCAAGCCAUCGUUAGCAAUUUAUGAACACAACUCAAUUAAUUACUAACUUACAACCUCCCUCAAAAUCAGAGA